GAUUAUAGCUCUUUGUCAAAGCCUGGUCUUGUCAGAUCUCAGAAGUUAGGUAGGGUUGGCCUAGUUAGUAGUUAGAUGGGAGACUGCCUGGAAUAUCAGGUGCC
ensembl:rRNA 5S_rRNA 5S ribosomal RNA